rnacentral:rRNA from 1 species
GACGAACGCUGGCGGCGUGCCUAAUACAUGCAAGUCGAGCGGAAGUUGAAGAGCUUGCUCUUCAACUUUAGCGGCGGACGGGUGAGUAACACGUGGGCAACCUGCCCUGCAGAUCGGGAUAACUCCGGGAAACCGGUGCUAGUACCGAAUAGUUUUCGCCACCUCCUGGUGGCGUACGGAAAGACGGUUUCGGCUGUCACUGCAGGAUGGGCCCGCGGCGCAUUAGCUAGUUGGUGGGGUAACGGCCCACCAAGGCGACGAUGCGUAGCCGACCUGAGAGGGUGAUCGGCCACACUGGGACUGAGACACGGCCCAGACUCCUACGGGAGGCAGCAGUAGGGAAUCUUCCGCAAUGGACGAAAGUCUGACGGAGCAACGCCGCGUGAGUGACGAAGGUUUUCGGAUCGUAAAACUCUGUUGUGAGGGAAGAACAAGUACCAACUAACUACUGGUACCUUGACGGUACCUCACCAGAAAGCCACGGCUAACUACGUGCCAGCCGCCGCGGUAAAAC